UACGUAGGGUGCAAGCGUUAAUCGGAAUUACUGGGCGUAAAGCGUGCGCAGGCGGUUUUGUAAGUCUGUCGUUAAAGCCCCGGGCUCAACCUGGGAAUUGCGAUGGAGACUGCAAGGCUUGAAUCUGGCAGAGGGGGGUAGAAUUCCACGUGUAGCAGUGAAAUGCGUAGAGAUGUGGAGGAACACCGAUGGCGAAGGCAGCCCCCUGGGUCAAGAUUGACGCUCAUGCACGAAAGCGUGGGGAGCAAACAGG
rnacentral:rRNA from 1 species